AGGGCAAAUAGCUGAAUGACAUAAACCCUACCCAAGCCCAGACCUUGUGAACAAUGUUUGCCCUGCUGCCAAUGCUGAGGAAGAUAGAUAGAGACUGAAAAAGACUACUUAUGUGGCUGACAUAACAAGAGUACAAGAUAAUGCUUUGGACAGACACCUCCCUCCAAAUUCAACACUCUCAGCUCACCCAUUCUUUCCUCAAUAAACCAUACACAUCACUGCUUUCUACGUACUUUCCAAACCUUCACAACCACGGACUCACAUGCAACUUCCAUUCUUCUUAGCCUCACAUCUUUCAACUUUCAUUACAACUUAAUCAAUACCCGUCUUGUUAGGAGGAAUCCAAAAGACAAAAAGGACAAUGCCUAUGCCUAUCUAAGAUUUUUAUCACAUCGCUUGGACUCAAUUACAAGAAACUUAAGUGUUAAUACCACUGCUGUCUUUGAAAUUUUCUUAUAUCAUUGAGUACUACUGUCUACUUUCACACCAUACAUAUAUAUAUAAUAAAAAGAAUGAAUACAUAACGUGAUUAUGCCUUCAUUAAAGAUUGAUGAAUACCAUGAUACUUUUGUUGUCCCCCAUAGUGCUGAUAAUAUGAUUCUACGUCCAUUAAUAAUAGAGGUAGUAAUCCAAAGUCAAAAUCAGAAAAAGUAUACGUAAUUGUUAUACCAAUCACUUAGGAUGCGUGUAAAUGGUGGCUCCUUUACAAUUGGCAAUAAAUGAAGGAGUAAAAGAGAAACGGCAUAAGAUUCAUUGGCAUACAACAAGUCACUCCGAGUGAUGACUGCUACCAAUCAUGGGAGACAUCAAAGACAGCAUAUGCAUGCAGCAUCUUUAACAUGGACCGUUGGAUGUCAAGUCAGAAAAGAAUACAAAUUACAAAAGUGAAGUAGACAGCAGAAUAGCAUAAUCAGUGUCUGUCUUCCACAUUCAGAUUCCAAUUCUG
rnacentral:lncRNA from 1 species